AGAAAGACACAGAGUUGUGUGUGUCUGCCUUUGCUGUGACAAUUUUCUCUGAGUUUCAAAUUCCAGAUGAAAAUCAUAUGAAGACACAGCAUCAUGUCAGGCAAUAGAGACAAAAGCAUCAACCUUUCGGGAUCAUUUGAUGGAUUAAACAGGAAAACCAAGUAGGUGAUCCUUGUUUCCUCGACCAGUGAAUAGAAAAGUGUGGGCACAUGGGGAAGGCAAGAUCAACCACCCUGAAAUCAGAGAGAAUAACUUAAGAUGAGUUUAACUUGAAUUCAGCUAUGUGGCAUAAACUCCUGAUCCUACAGGAAGAUAGGGGAGAGGGGUGGGGUUCAACAGAGCUAAAGAAACCAAGAAAGGCUUCUAGGCAAUGGAAGAACUUAAGGAAGAAGAAAAGGAAUCCAAUGAUUAUAUUUUUAGCAAUUCGUGUAAAGUAAAUUUCUACAGUGUGUACACCUAAGUGAAAUAAUCCUCAUAAUACCUGUGCAGUGAGUUUCCUUGUAGUUGAAAUUGUUGCCACAUGUUCCAAGAUAUUUUAGGUUUCUUAAAGUGUGAGUCACUGAUAGUUCAUCAAAAUCACCUGGAUGCUGGUUAACGGAAGCUCUUGAAUCCCCCUUCCUCCCGUCCUACUGAAUCAGAAUCUCUUAAGAUAAAACCAGGAACUACAUCUUCAUAAGCUCCCUGGGUAAUUCCUAUAAACAACAUAGUUACAGAACCAUUGUGUGAGUUAUUACCUGCACAUUGGGAAUUACCUGAGAAACUUGAAACGUUCUCAUUCUUCUGUCCUACCCUCAGAGAUAAUGAUUUACUUAAUUAAAUCACCAGCUAGGAAUUGGGAUUUAUAAGAGCUCUACAGGACAUUCCAAUAUCCAGCCCAGUCUGGGACUCACCGGCCUAAGGGUCCAUUUAUAUUUAUGACACACAUGAUUUUCAUCCAGGUAGCACUGGCAGGUGAAAUACAAGACAUUCGGUUAAAUUUGAAUUUCAGAUAAAUAAUGCAUGCUCUUUCUGUUGUUGUUUAACUAUAUGUAUGUUGCAGUUAUUGCAUGGAAUAUAUUCAUACUUUUAAAAUAUUAUUCAGUUAAUCUGGGAACUCUAAGCCCACGUAUCUUUAACUCUAAAUCACAUCGCCUUUUCACUAUUUCCUGGUGUAUCAAUUUCUUAGUUUUGAAGGAUAGGUGAAAUUUGAACAGGGCAAACUCAUUACCAAAACAUUGCUCACAGACACCUCCCAAUAAAAGCAAAUUAAUAUAGAUAUACAAAUGCAAGUGAAAACAUUAUUUAAAGUGAAGUACUUUCAUGAGCCAA
rnacentral:lncRNA from 1 species